CUGAGUGCAGUGGAAACCGUGCAUCCUUCCUCUUCCCUGGGCCUCAUCCUGGUGCCUGCCCCCAGCAGUCCCUGGCAGCCUCAUGUCCACCUGGCCAUGAUGUCAGGUCUAUUUAAGCCAGGGACCUGGUGAUCCUUUCCACAGCCCACUGGGAAGGCCUAUGUGUUGCUGAAAAACAAAUAAACCAACAGCUCUCUGUCACCAUGGGUUCUACAGACCUGGGGAUACACGGCAAAGGCCUGUCGUGGAGGUUGUAACUCUUUGUCCUUUAGGAUUCCCAAGGUAGACCACGUGUGUGCCAGCCCAGCAGGCAAACUGCCCCGUAUGAGUUUGUCCAUCAACUGUGCGUGCAGAUCUUUACUCGCAUGCAUGACACAGGAAGCCCACGGGACACUUCCCCAGCACGCCCCGCUUCCUCUGCACUCCUGGAAGGAAGACCUGUUCUUGCUUCUUCCGUACUCUCAGGAUCUGGCACAGAACCCGACAAAGGAAAUAUUUAAUGAACUAUGGCGUAGGCCUGGCCCUGAACGACACCCUGGGGACCCAGCAGCAGCAAGGUGCAGCUUCUGCCCUCAGCAACCUCACGGUCUAAUGGACGCGGCACAGUGGGCAGGAAGUGACACCAAAGAGCAUCAGGAUUAGGAAGUCUGUUCGGAUUAGCAUGGAAUCAGGUCAGGGAGACAAACAUUUCCUUAAUAUUUGGAAAUAUUUCCUUAACAUAUGAGUGGGAGUUUACAACAGUUUUCACAUUCUGGGAGUACCACCGUGUUCCUGAGGACUCAGGAGACUCAGCGGGCUAACAGUGUUGUGUGUGGAAUGGGGUUGUUAUACUCAGGAAAGUACAGACCCAGGCUGUCGGAAUGUGUUGACUGUUUACUUGGGGAAGGAGAGCUAACUACAGAGCCAAUCUCCUCUUGCUGGGGAGUGAAGAAAUGUCAACUGCAUUUCCACCCUGUCUCAUCAGCUUUGUCCCUCCCUUCUCUACUCUAUGUCUCCUCCCACAUCCAAAACAUAAACAUAAGUAAGGACCUCGGCCCAGUCGCAAGAUCGUUUCAGUUCCUUUCUUCUCGCACCUCUGCCUUGAUUUCCAACACGUCUAUAAUACAGAGCCUGUUGAAGCCAGGGCUGGGAGUCACCAUUGCCUCUUGGCCUAGGAUGUCAGAGUCCGAGUUCCACACCCCCACAUGGGCAGCUCCGGGGAGCAAGCAUAGAGUAUUUAAGUCCCCCCUUCAUGGCCGUUUCUCAGAUAGCUGGGGGAAGGACCUUCAAUAGUAGGAGGGAGUCUGCUCACAACCUGCUUCUUGGUUGAUCACAUGCUACUCUUGAAACGGAGAUAAUGUCUGGCCUCUCUGAUUUUUCUGGCUUUAGAGUCUCCCUGCCCUGGGAAUCAUUGCUGGCCAUGGCAGUUGCUGAGACUGGGAGCUAAAAGGUGCAUCUGAGUUGGAGUCUUGUCAUGUUCCUUCAGGUGUGUGUUGGACCAAGCUGCCUACCAUGUGUACGCAUACUGCCCACACAUGUGGUUAGCACCCUGGAUGGUUCGAUUCCAUGUCAGCUUGGCUGUUGGUGGGAAGUGGAUGAGUGGUCCAUGGUGAGUUCACUCAUUUCAAAAUGGCAGCCUGUGUUUACUAAUGGAUCGAGGCCUCUUGGGUUUUUCUAAUUGACUGAGGCCAUUAUUUCUCUCUAGCACUCAAUUCCGGGGGUAACUAGAAGUGAUGACUUAUAAUCAAAUUUAGGAUUUUUAUCUUUCAUUUAUUAUUAUUAUAUUCAAAUUUAGAAUUAUUAUCCUAUUCGUUGCAGUUUCACUUUGUCUUAUAUCUGUCUUCUACACAGGCCUUAACAAUAUAGUUGUUUCUGACUGGUUCACUAGAGAAGCCUUGGUAUGAGUCAAGGGUGGGAUGUCUUCCUCAGCCUGUCAUGGAAAGAUUCCCAUGAAUCUUCUUCAGGAGGGCAGGUGGUCAUGUUUCUGGCCCACCAGCUCUGAUGGUUGCACUAUCUAGGGCCCAUUAAGCUGCCUUAGAAGAGCUUGGCACUGCAGGAGGUAGGGCCGAGUAUCCUGUUUAUUGAGGGCCAGAAAGCCCUUUCAGAGCCUAUUCUUCUCAUCUGCACACUUUCAGCAGACUCUCUGGAGCAGCCCAGCUUCCCAGAACUGAGAUCACUAAACCAAGAAGAGGAGGCACCUUGGACCUGGGUAAAGGCUCCUUUCCAAGCUACUGCACAAAGAGGCCCAGGAGAAAUCAAAAGAUCAUGGACUGUUUUUGCUAUUGCAUGUGUUCCACCUUCAGUAUGGACUGUUGCCCUCCUUGCAGAUGUCGAGAUGGAACCUCACCAGGGCUUCCUUCUGAAAUGAAACUUCCAGAAAGCAGCAGACAGACCACAGAACAUCCUUCCUAGAAAAAGAAAAGCCGUCUGUAGACCAGCAACAGCUCUGAUCACAUGACUGCAAGCAAGGUUUCCAAAGAAAUCAAAAUGAUAGCUUGAAGAAUGAGCAUUGACAAUUUCUUUGUAGAAAGAUUCAAAUUCACAAUGUGAUCAAUUAAAAGGAAUCCUAGCUUACAUUUUUUUCUCAAAAAA
rnacentral:lncRNA from 1 species